CCGCAAUGUGAGAAAUCGCGACGGGGGGAUCCCAAGUGCCAUUCUUAACGGGAUGGCUUUUCUUAAGUGUAAAAAGCUUUUGGAAUAAGAGCUGGGCAAGACCGGUGCCAGCCGCCGCGGUAACACCGGCAGCUCUAGUGGUAGCUGUUUUUAUUGGGCCUAAAGCGUUCGUAGCCGGUUUGAUAAGUCACUGGUGAAAUCCUGUAGCUUAACUGUGGGAAUUGCUGGUGAUACUGUUGAACUUGAGGUCGGGAGAGGUUAGCGGUACUCCCAGGGUAGAGGUGAAAUUCUGUAAUCCUGGGAGGACCACCUGUGGCGAAGGCGGCUAACUGGAACGAACCUGACGGUGAGGGACGAAAGCUAGGGGCGCGAACCGGAUUAGAUACCCGGGUAGUCCUAGCCGUAAACGAUGCGGACUUGGUGUUGGGAUGGCUUUGAG
rnacentral:rRNA from 1 species